rnacentral:rRNA from 1 species
GGAAUUUUGGACAAUGGGCGAAAGCCUGAUCCAGCAAUGCCGCGUGAGUGAAGAAGGCCUUCGGGUUGUAAAGCUCUUUUGUCAGGGAAGAAACGGUGAAGGCUAAUAUCCUUUGCUAAUGACGGUACCUGAAGAAUAAGCACCGGCUAACUACGUGCCAGCAGCCGCGGUAAUACGUAGGGUGCAAGCGUUAAUCGGAAUUACUGGGCGUAAAGCGUGCGCAGGCGGUUUUGUAAGUCUGAUGUGAAAUCCCCGGGCUCAACCUGGGAAUUGCAUUGGAGACUGCAAGGCUAGAAUCUGGCAGAGGGGGGUAGAAUUCCACGUGUAGCAGUGAAAUGCGUAGAUAUGUGGAGGAACACCGAUGGCGAAGGCAGCCCCCUGGGUCAAGAUUGACGCUCAUGCACGAAAGCGUGGGGAGCAAACAGGAUUAGAUACCCCGG